rnacentral:lncRNA from 1 species
UUUUGGAGGCGCUCAUUGAAAUUACCUUCUGCUGUGGUUUGGAAUACUCAACUCUGGCAACUCC